GUGGGGAAUAUUGGGCAAUGGGCGAAAGCCUGACCCAGCAACGCCGCGUGAGGGAAGAAGGUUUUCGGAUUGUAAACCUCUGUCCUUGGUGACGAACACAAUGACGGUAGCCAAGGAGGAAGCCCCGGCUAACUACGUGCCAGCAGCCGCGGUAAUACGUAGGGGGCAAGCGUUGUCCGGAAUGACUGGGCGUAAAGGGCGUGUAGGCGGCCGAUUAAGUCUGGAGUGAAAGUCCUGCUUUCAAGGUGGGAAUUGCUUUGGAGACUGGUUGGCUUGAGUGCGGAAGAGGCAAGUGGAAUUCCCAGUGUAGCGGUGAAAUGCGUAGAGAUUGGGAGGAACACCAGUGGCGAAGGCGACUUACUGGGCCGUAACUGACGUUGAUGCGCGAAAGCGUGGGGAGCGAACAGGAUUAGAUACCCUAGUAGUCC
rnacentral:rRNA from 1 species